AACGCAAAUUGCACUCUCUGGCAACCCGGGGAGUAUGCCUGUUUGAGGGUCAGUGUUAAUAAAAAUCGGUGCGUUGCAAAUUUUUUUGUGAUGUCUCCGGAGUUUGAGUUAUCUUAAUUAACUCUUCUGGGGUUUUUAAGAGGCUUAAAAUUGACCUUUUUUUGUGCAUUUUAGACGUACAUAAAUUUUUUUUUAUUCGUCCAUCUUAAUGCCAAAAUCUAAUAGAUGCGACCAUAUCAUGUGGUUUCGUGUCCAUAAAUUUUUCAUGAUUUGACCUCAAAUCAGGUAGGAACACCCGCUGAACUUAA
rnacentral:misc_RNA from 1 species